AGUGAACGCUGGCGGUAGGCCUAACACAUGCAAGUCGAACGGCAGCACAGUAAGAGCUUGCUCUUACGGGUGGCGAGUGGCGGACGGGUGAGGAAUACAUCGGAAUCUACUUUUUCGUGGGGGAUAACGUAUGGAAACUUACGCUAAUACCGCAUACGACCUACGGGUGAAAGCAGGGGAUCUUCGGACCUUGCGCGAUUGAAUGAGCCGAUGUCGGAUUAGCUAGUUGGCGGGGUAAAGGCCCACCGAGGCGACGAUCCGUAGCUGGUCUGAGAGGAUGAUCAGCCACACUGGAACUGAAACACGGUCCAGACUCCUACGGGAGGCAGCAGUGGGGAAUAUUGGACAAUGGGCGCAAGCCUGAUCCAGCCAUACCGCGUGGGUGAAGAAGGCCUUCGGGUUGUAAAGCCCUUUUGUUGGGAAAGAAAAGCAGCAGGUUAAUACCCCGCUGUUCUGACGGUACCCAAAGAAUAAGCACCGGCUAACUUCGUG
rnacentral:rRNA from 1 species